rnacentral:rRNA from 1 species
GGCGAAAGCCUGAUGCAGCCAUGCCGCGUGUGUGAAGAAGCCCUYCGGGUUGUAAAGCACUUUCAGUCAGGAGGAAAGGKURKKCGUUAAUACCKCGAUAGCUGUGACGUUACUGACAGAAGAAGCACCGGCUAACUCCGUGCCAGCAGCGCGCGGUAAUACGGAGGGUGCGAGCGUUAAKCGGAAUUASUGGRCGUAAAGCGKACGCAGKCGGUWUAGUUAAGCGAGAUGUGAAAGCCCCGGGCUCAACCUGGGAACUGCAUUUCGAACUGGCAAACUAGAGUGUGAKAGAGGGUGGUAGAAUUUCGAGGUGUAGCGGUGAAACUGCGUAGAGAUCUGAAGGAAUASCMGAUGGCGAAGGCAGCCACCUGGGUCAACACUGACGCUCAUGUACGAAAGCGUGGGGAGCAAACRGGAUUAGAUACCCYGGUAGUCACACGCCGUAAACGAUGUCUACUAGAMGCUCGGARCCUCGGUUCUGUUUUUCAAAGCKAACGCAGUUAAGUAGACCGCCUGGGGAGUACG